AUGAAAUUAAGUAACAUUCCUUAUCUACUCCAAAGUCCAAAGCAGCCACACCCAAGUCCCAAGGGAGAGGUUCUACUUCUAUCAGCAAUGGCGUCCUCCAACCCUCUCUUCUCAUCACCACUCCCUCUGUCCCCACUCAGAUCCCACGCGCCGCUGCCCCUAACCUUCUCCUUCACAACGAAAGCAACCCCCAAUGAUUCUUCCUCUACCGAUGGUCCCACCUCCGAAUCACCCGAGACUGAAAGUUUCGAGGACCGACUCUCGCAGGUACGUCUGCGUUACCGGAGUGGCACAGGGAAGAAAGCCGACGCACGGAAGAGCAAGAAGUCCGGGAAGAAAUCCGGUGGGAGUUCAGGAUCUGGGGCAAACAUGUACCUCCCACCGGUGCCUUUGAAGGAGCCGAUUUCAGGUGGAGUGAAAGUGGAUUUCGGGUUCAGCCCGUAUUCGGAGAGGAUGAAUGGGCGGGUGGCGGCCCUUGGGUUAGCGGCGUUGGUGUUAGUGGAGCUGGCGACGGGAGAGAGUGUGAUAAAAUACCAUACGCCGUCGAUCAUUUUUAUUCAGGUUUAUUUUGUGGCUGCUGUUACGGCGGUGUAUUGUAAGGUUGAAAAGGAAAAGGUCAGCAUUUGGCCACAGUCGUAGUGAGGUGCUCCGGUUGACUCGGAGUAUUUGGCAUUGAUGAUUGGUACAGCUGUUUCUGUAUUUAGUUUUUGUUCAACGAUUGAAAUAUAUAUAUAAUAAUUAUUUGUUAAAAUGGCCAUAACAAUCGAUUGGAACUCUGAAAAUGUUUAUACACAUAAAAUAGCAACUUACUUAUGUUAAUUUGGUUUAAUAUAGGCUUAUAGCAUCCAACUUUUAUUUUUACUUAGAAAUCUAUUAGAGCUUUGAAAAUAUGAUGCACUAAUAUGAGAAACAAGCAACACCUUCGAAACCAAGGUAGCAAUACCUAAAAGAGAAUCCCCUAUUGCUAUCCUGGUUCAUAUAUAAUGUAAUAUGUCAAAAGAUGACUAUUUUGUUUCUAAUUUUAGUAAAUGUCCAUGACUUUCGUGCAUUUGUUAGAAUAGUUUUUAAUUUUAUGANUGGCAACACCGGAACAAUACGGAAACUGGAAAUGGUUUUUUUUUUUUUUUCCCAUUCUGUUCUAUGGUUUUGGAUGAGACUAAAUUUUGGAUAAAUAGUCCCAUUGGACUUGGUCAACAACUAACUUUAUCCCAGUCCCGUCCGUGUCAAACGCUCAGUGAUAUAGGACCUUGUUCUGUUCUGUUCCGUCCUAUUAUACGUAUCAAAUGGGACCUUAACGACGACGAUGUAAGAAUUGUCGAAGUCUAGCAAAGUUGAAACCUAAAAGGAGUCACGGAACAGUUGAAAUCAUAAAAUUAUACUAUUCAUGAACACUUUUAUUUUAAUAUAUAUUAAUAAUAUGAAAAUUAUAUAAUGAAAUUAAGUAACAUUCCUUAUCUACUCCAAAGUCCAAAGCAGCCACACCCAAGUCCCAAGGGAGAGGUUCUACUUCUAUCAGCAAUGGCGUCCUCCAACCCUCUCUUCUCAUCACCACUCCCUCUGUCCCCACUCAGAUCCCACGCGCCGCUGCCCCUAACCUUCUCCUUCACAACGAAAGCAACCCCCAAUGAUUCUUCCUCUACCGAUGGUCCCACCUCCGAAUCACCCGAGACUGAAAGUUUCGAGGACCGACUCUCGCAGGUACGUCUGCGUUACCGGAGUGGCACAGGGAAGAAAGCCGACGCACGGAAGAGCAAGAAGUCCGGGAAGAAAUCCGGUGGGAGUUCAGGAUCUGGGGCAAACAUGUACCUCCCACCGGUGCCUUUGAAGGAGCCGAUUUCAGGUGGAGUGAAAGUGGAUUUCGGGUUCAGCCCGUAUUCGGAGAGGAUGAAUGGGCGGGUGGCGGCCCUUGGGUUAGCGGCGUUGGUGUUAGUGGAGCUGGCGACGGGAGAGAGUGUGAUAAAAUACCAUACGCCGUCGAUCAUUUUUAUUCAGGUUUAUUUUGUGGCUGCUGUUACGGCGGUGUAUUGUAAGGUUGAAAAGGAAAAGGUCAGCAUUUGGCCACAGUCGUAGUGAGGUGCUCCGGUUGACUCGGAGUAUUUGGCAUUGAUGAUUGGUACAGCUGUUUCUGUAUUUAGUUUUUGUUCAACGAUUGAAAUAUAUAUAUAAUAAUUAUUUGUUAAAAUGGCCAUAACAAUCGAUUGGAACUCUGAAAAUGUUUAUACACAUAAAAUAGCAACUUACUUAUGUUAAUUUGGUUUAAUAUAGGCUUAUAGCAUCCAACUUUUAUUUUUACUUAGAAAUCUAUUAGAGCUUUGAAAAUAUGAUGCACUAAUAUGAGAAACAAGCAACACCUUCGAAACCAAGGUAGCAAUACCUAAAAGAGAAUCCCCUAUUGCUAUCCUGGUUCAUAUAUAAUGUAAUAUGUCAAAAGAUGACUAUUUUGUUUCUAAUUUUAGUAAAUGUCCAUGACUUUCGUGCAUUUGUUAGAAUAGUUUUUAAUUUUAUGACAUAAAACGUCACAGUUAAACAUUCUUGGACAAAAAUUUAUGUUCCUCAAGAAAUACUUUUGAGAGAUAUUACGGUUUCAAAAGUUCAUGCCAUAUAAAGCUCGUUAAGGUCCUGAGUCAGACUUUUGUUCGCAAAUUUUUAUUUAUUUAUUUAUUUAUAUUACACUGUAUCACCACACAAUUAGAAUUUAUGAUCGUUAAUUAGUCGUGAGACAUAUUUGAGUCUGUUUAAGGAUUUAGAGGUAAUUCACCUAUUAUGAUUUACAUGAUCUUUGCAAUGUGAUUAUUGAUGUCAUUCGAAUUCUUGGUCGUUGGCUAUGAUCUAUUGAUCUAGAUUCAGUUGAGUAUAUCGUUUCCAAGCCGAUAUUGAUUGUUGGUGUUCUGCCUCCCAAACUCAGACAUUACUUUAUGAGUUUAAUAUCAAGGUUGAACCAUGAACGCUGCAAAAGAAGGCCAACCAGUAACAUUAUGCAAUUUAUGCGUUAAUCCAUUAUUUGUAGUUUAAGUAAGA
rnacentral:lncRNA from 1 species